CGGGACCCCCCGCGCCCACCCGUCCCCGCGGGCUGACCGCGCUGCGUGCCGGGCGCGUCCCGUCCGCACGGCACAGAAAGGUGGUGGCGAAGGACGGCACCGUCCCGCCGGUGCCCCGCGGCCGCUUUGUACCGAUUUGUUCUCCCCCUCCUCCCACCCCGAAGCAGCGAACCACGCGCGGUUUUCAGCGGCGGAAAGCGCGGAACUCGGGGCCGCACUUACCCCGGGACGCAGAGGAUCAUGUCACUGCGGGGCCAGGGGAAGAGCAUCGGGGCCUCGGCAGGGGCAGCGCCCGUCCUCCCCGCUGUGCCCGGCCGUGCUGUGCCCCGUCCCGCACUCCGGAGGCGGCGGCGGAGCGGCGCGGUCCGAUCCUCCCGCGGGGCGCUCUCAGAAAGAAGCGGUCGGGGCGCUCGGCGUUAAUAAUAAAUAGACGGGAAGAAAUAAAUACGGUCCCCGCGAGCGCUGGGGAGAGACGCGCGCCUCGGCCCGGGCUGCACAAGUACUGGGGCUGGGCGAGAAAAAAAACCCGCUAAGUAAUCUUUUGUUUGCCCCUUUUAAUCUGUUCCAGGAAGCGAGGGAUUCCUGGAAUCGCAUUGUAUUCGCAUCACUCUUCCGAUAGCAGCCACGCGAGGAGAAAGAAAAAAAAGCGGCAGACACCUGCAGAGCAGAACUGAAGGACAGAUGCACGGGCCACAUUUCAGAGUGCAGCACACACCGCAGCCCAACCUAGGGGUCACACAGCGGUUUCCAUUUCCUCCUGUGCAUCUCUAGAGAGUCCUGCAGAGCUUCCCUUCCUCCCGCGGCACAGACACAGCGCUUUCUGAAGAACUUCCUCAGAAAUGCACAAAGGAUGCCGCGGCCCCACAGCUCCAUCCCCACUUCCAGGCUGACAGCACAGAGCACCGCCUGUACAACGCCCCGGGGGAGGACUCACACCGAUGGCACCCCGGGGAGGCAGCGUUUCAGAAGAACGUAUCACUGCAUUUUCAGCUGCUGGUGGCAUUUCCCUUACUGCAGUCGAUAUUGAUUUCCUCGAGACACCGCUGUGUGAGGACCAAUCCCAGCCCAAUCCCUUUUGUCUCAGAUAAACUCGGAUGAAUGCAGCAUUCGGGUAGGUAUCAUUCUCCCAAAGCACGCCGACCCCAAGGAUUUGGUGACCCCAGAUUUCCUCACUCUCCACCUGACAGCAAACUGCGAUGUUUCAUUUCACUUCAUUUUUGGUGAGAAAUGAGGUAUUUCACAGUCUGAACUGGCUUUGAUGCCUGAUAUCGCUGUCACCGAAUUGCUGCAGUGUAGGAAAAAGGCAGCAAAAAAUACCCAAUGAGACAGCCAAAAUUAACCUUAGUCACCCAAAGUAACGGUGUUUGAGCCAUAAAGCUCUGCACAGCGCAGGUAGCUGUGAUACCCAGGAGCAGCAGCUCCUCAGUGAAGGGCUGACUGCCACUGGGGAAGGAUCUGUGUGUAUGUGGGGGUGGGGGGACUGUUGAGUCAUGGUCUGACCCACUGAUGGAGCACGUGGGGAAAGGACCCGGUCAGCCCUGGGAGCACAGGUGAAGGCAAUUCAGCUGUGUGACUGGAAGGGGUGGAGCCUGACUGCACCCCUCUUAGACCUCAAUGAAGGGCUGACCCCUCCUGGGGAAGGAUCUUUGGUUGGAUGUUCCUCCCUGGUGGAGUCUUUUCUGUGAGCCUCAAUCUCUGGGAAUGGUGAGCACCUUUCCUUUCCCUUUGAAAUACCAUUCCGUCCCCGUUAGUCCCUUUGCUGUUCCGCUCCUGUACUGCCCUUCCACUGUGUUAAUCCUUCUGAUUGUAACAGUGUGUCGUUGCUGUUGGGUGCUUUUGGUAAAAACAGGAUUAAUAUUUAAUGUGCAGUUUUAGGGAUUUUUGUGAGGAUGAAAGAACUUAGUGCCACAGCGGGUUCUUAGCGUGUAACAAUGCUGUGGUUGUUUUUUAACUUCAAAAAGCAAACAUCCAUAAAUAAAUAACGUUUUCCUUCCGACUGGAAGCUGUCCCCGGCACCGCCAGUCCUGGGAGGCACAGCAGGGGGAGCUGGGAGCCUUCUGUCCGGAGGAGGCUCAAGGGAGACCUCAGACGUCCCCCUGAAAGGAGGCUGUAGAGAGGUGGGGGUCGGCCUCUUCUCCCGUGGAACAGCGAUGGGACGAGAGGGAACGGCUUCACGUUGCCCCAGGGGAGGUCCCCGUUGGAUAUUAGGAAGAACACCUCUGCUGAAAGAGCGGUCGGGCACUGGCACAGCCGCCCGGGGAGCUGCGGGAGUCAGCGUCCAUGGAGGUGUUCCAGGACCGUGGGGAUGUGGCACUGAGGGACGCGGGCAGUGGGCA
rnacentral:lncRNA from 1 species